rnacentral:tRNA from 1 species
GCCUCGGCAGCACGACGGAGCGUGCAGCCGCCUCCUAAGCGGAAGGUCCAGGUUCGACUCCUGGCCGAGGCA